rnacentral:rRNA from 1 species
GAGGAAUAUUGGUCAAUGGACGAGAGUCUGAACCAGCCAAGUCGCGUGCAGGAAGAAUGUCCUAUGGAUUGUAAACUGCUUUUGCAGGGGAAUAAAGUGCAUCACGUGUGAUGUUUUGUAUGUACUCUGCGAAUAAGGAUCGGCUAACUCCGUGCCAGCAGCCGCGGUAAUACGGAGGAUCCGAGCGUUAUCCGGAUUUAUUGGGUUUAAAGGGUGCGUAGGCGGGAUAAUAAGUCAGUGGUGAAAGUUUGCAGCUUAACUGUAAAAUUGCCGUUGAAACUGUUAUUCUUGAGAGUAGAUAAGGUAGGCGGAAUGUGUUGUGUAGCGGUGAAAUGCAUAGAUAUAACACAGAACCCCGAUUGCGAAGGCAGCUUACCGGGCUACAUCUGACGCUGAUGCACGAAAGCGUGGGGAUCAAAC